rnacentral:rRNA from 1 species
CCUACGGGAGGCAGCAGUAGGGAAUCUUCGGCAAUGGGGGGAACCCUGACCGAGCAACGCCGCGUGAGGGAAGAAGGACUUCGUUCUGUAAACUUCUGUUAUAAAGGAAGAAAGACGGAUGGAGUAAAUGACAUCCGAUUGACGGUACUUUAUGAGAAAGCCACGGCUAACUACGUGCCAGCAGCCGCGGUAAUACGUAGGUGGCAAGCGUUAUCCGGAAUUAUUGGGCGUAAAGAGGUAGCAGGCGGCAGCAAAGGUCUGUGGUGAAAGACUGAAGCUUAACUUCAGUAGGCCAUGGAAACCGGGCAGCUAGAGUGCAGGAGAGGAUCGUGGAAGUCCAUGUGUAGCGGUGAAAUGCGUAGAUAUAUGGAGGAACACCAGUGGCGAAGGCGACGAUCUGGCCUGCAACUGACGCUCAGUCUCGAAAGCGUGGGGAGCAAACAGGAUUAGAUACCCUAGUAGUC